GCACAAGCGGUGGAGCAUGUGGUUCAAUUCGACGCAACGCGAAGAACCUUACCCAGGCUUGAACAGCGAGUGACCACUCCCGAAAGGGAGCUUCCGCAAGGACACUCGUAGAGGUGCUGCAUGGCUGUCGUCAGCUCGUGUCGUGAGAUGUUGGGUUAAGUCCCGCAACGAGCGCAACCCUUGUUACCAGUUGCUACCAUUUAGUUGAGCACUCUGGUGAGACCGCCUCGGAUAACGGGGAGGAAGGCGGGGAUGACGUCAAGUCCUCAUGGCCUUUAUGUCCAGGGCUACACACGUGCUACAAUGGCCGGUACAAACCGUCGCAAACCCGUGAGGGGGAGCUAAUCGGAAAAAGCCGGCCUCAGUUCGGAUUGGAGUCUGCAACUCGACUCCAUGAAGCUGGAAUCGCUAGUAAUCGCGGAUCAGAAUGCCGCGGUGAAUACGUUCCCGGGC
rnacentral:rRNA from 1 species